GUGAGGAAUAUUGCGCAAUGGGGGAAACCCUGACGCAGCAACGCCGCGUGAGUGAGGAAGGUUUUCGGACCGUAAAGCUCUGUCGAGCGGGAAGAAAUGCAUAAUGGCUAAUAUCCAUUAUGCUUGACGGUACCGCUAAAGGAAGCACCGGCUAACUCCGUGCCAGCAGCCGCGGUAAUACGGGGGGUGCUAGCGUUGUUCGGAAUCAUUGGGCGUAAAGAGCGUGUAGGCGGCUGGAUAAGUCAGAUGUGAAAGCCCUGGGCUUAACCUAGGAAGUGCAUUUGAAACUGUUCAGCUUGAGUAGGGGAGAGGAAAGUGGAAUUCCUGGUGUAGAGGUGAAAUUCGUAGAUAUCAGGAGGAACACCGGUGGCGAAGGCGACUUUCUGGCCCUAUACUGACGCUGAGACGCGAGAGCGUGGGUAGCAAACAGGAUUAGAAACCCUAGUAGUCC
rnacentral:rRNA from 1 species